AAUUGCCAGUGUUGGCAUGAAUGAAAUAUAGGAUGACUCAUCCAAUGAGAAUUUGAAUGCUGGUGUAAAACCAUAGAGAAAAUCCAGGAGGUUCAAUAAAAAGGCUAAUAAUUCACAGAAAUAUCCUGGGAUCAAAGAGAAGACCCUGUGGCCUCAUUGGACAUUAGUAGGUGCCUUGGAAGAAGCAGAGGCGGGAGACACAAAGGAGUUCAAGUGAUUGGAGCAAGAACUGUAGACGACAUACCUAAGCACAGGAGAGGGGAAAGAGAGCAUUCAAUUGCUUUUGAAAUGAGUAUUUAAAAACCAGCCUCACUCAGGGUGGCCCCUUGCAGUCCUCUGCUGAGUCAACUCUCUGC
rnacentral:lncRNA from 1 species